GCUCCAGUGGCCUAUUGGUUAGAGCGUCCGCCUCGGAUGCGGGAGGUCGUGGGUUCGAUCCCCAGUCAAGUU